UGAGUAACCUGCCCUUAACUCUGGGAUAAGCCUGGGAAACUGGGUCUAAUACCGGAUAUGACUCCUCAUCGCAUGGUGGGGGGUGGAAAGCUUUUUGUGGUUUUGGAUGGACUCGCGGCCUAUCAGCUUGUUGGUGAGGUAAUGGCUUACCAAGGCGACGACGGGUAGCCGGCCUGAGAGGGCGACCGGCCACACUGGGACUGAGACACGGCCCAGACUCCUACGGGAGGCAG
rnacentral:rRNA from 1 species